GAUGAACGCUGGCGGCAGGCCUAACACAUGCAAGUCGAGCGAAGCCUUCGGGCUUAGCGGCGGACGGGUGAGUAACGCGUGGGAACGUGCCCUUUGGUACGGAAUAGCCCCGGGAAACUGGGAGUAAUACCGUAUGUGGUCGAGAGACGAAAGAUUUAUCGCCAAAGGAUCGGCCCGCGUUGGAUUAGGUAGUUGGUGGGGUAAUGGCCUACCAAGCCGACGAUCCAUAGCUGGUUUGAGAGGAUGAUCAGCCACACUGGGACUGAGACACGGCCCAGACUCCUACGGGAGGCAGCAGUGGGGAAUCUUAGACAAUGGGGGAAACCCUGAUCUAGCCAUGCCGCGUGAUCGAUGAAGGCCUUAGGGUUGUAAAGAUCUUUCAGUGGGGAAGAUAAUGACUGUACCCAUAGAAGAAGCCCCGGCUAACUCCGUGCCAGCCGCCGCAGUAA
rnacentral:rRNA from 1 species